GACUCCAGAGUGAAAGGAUAAUUAGGAUUGAUACAGGACGGAGGAAGGAAGGCAUCCAGGCAAUCUCAAUAAAAGCAUCCAUGAGUAAAAGUUUCCAUUAUUUCUUUAUUAAGCCCAGAACAUUACCAGGCCUAGUGUUGAACUAUAAUUAUUGUUGACAGGAAUAACAAUAUUCUUGUUUAAACUAAUUGAGAAGUCUUUUAUCUCUACUUCCAUACCAGGGUGCUGAUCCCCAACUUUUAGGAAAAGGUCGAGAAAGUGCACUGUCGUUGGCCUGUAGUAAAGGCUACACAGAUAUUGUCAAAAUGCUGCUUGAUUGUGGAGUUGAUGUAAAUGAAUAUGAUUGGAAUGGAGGAACACCUCUGCUUUAUGCUGUACAUGGAAAUCAUGUGAAAUGUGUAAAGAUGCUCUUAGAAAGUGGGGCUGAUCCAACAAUUGAAACUGACUCUGGAUAUAAUUCUAUGGAUCUAGCUGUAGCCCUAGGCUAUAGAAGUGUUCAACAGGUUAUUGAGUCACAUUUGUUGAAGCUGCUUCAAAAUAUCAAGGAGUAGACACAGUCAUCAGAAAAUGUCUGCCCUUUUGUUUACUUCUUGGUCCUUAUAAAUGAUAGUUUUUGUUUACUUAUAAAUUUUUACCUCAGUUGCAAUAUUUACUGGUUUUUAGUAGGUUUUAAUAAAUAUUUCUCUGAGUAAUUCACUGGUUUAUAAUAAAUUUAAUACUCUUUUUAUAA
rnacentral:sRNA from 1 species